rnacentral:rRNA from 1 species
GAUGAACGCUGGCGGCGUGCCUAAUACAUGCAAGUCGAGCGAACAGACGAGAGUGCUUGCCCUCUCUGACGUUAGCGGCGGACGGGUGAGUAACACGUGGGUAACCUACCUAUAAGACUGGGAUAACUUCGGGAAACCGGAGCUAAUACCGGAUAAUAUUUAGCUUCGCAUGAAGCAAUAGUGAAAGACGGUUCUGCUGUCACUUAUAGAUGGACCCGCGGUGUAUUAGCUAGUUGGUGAGGUAACGGCUCACCAAGGCAACGAUACAUAGCCGACCUGAGAGGGUGAUCGGCCACACUGGGACUGAGACACGGCCCAGACUCCUACGGGAGGCAGCAGUAGGGAAUCUUCCGCAAUGGACGAAAGUCUGACGGAGCAAUGCCGCGUGAGUGAAGAAGGUUUUCGGACCGUAAAACUCUGUUGUAAGGGAAGAACAAGUACGUUAGUAACUGAACGUACCUUGACGGUACCUUACCAGAAAGCCACGGCUAACUACGUG